ACUUAAGUAGUUUAUAUAAUUUAAAACAUUGAUUUGUGGAAUCGAAGAAAUAAAUUUUGGUGUUAUCUUAAGUU
rnacentral:tRNA from 1 species